rnacentral:rRNA from 1 species
CUACGGGACGCACCAGUGGGGAAUAUUGCACAAUGGGGGAAACCCUGAUGCAGCAACGCCGCGUGGAGGAUGACACAUUUCGGUGCGUAAACUCCUUUUAUAUGAGAAGAUAAUGACGGUAUCAUAUGAAUAAGCUCCGGCUAACUCCGUGCCAGCAGCCGCGGUAAUACGGGGGGAGCAAGCGUUACUCGGAAUCACUGGGCGUAAAGAGCAUGUAGGCUGAUAAAAAAGUUAGAAGUGAAAUCCUGUGGCUUAACCAUAGAACUGCUUCUAAAACUCUUUAUCUAGAAUAUGGGAGAGGUAGAUGGAAUUUCUGGUGUAGGGGUAAAAUCCGUAGAGAUCAGAAGGAAUACCGAUUGCGAAGGCGAUCUACUGGAACAUAAUUGACGCUGAGAUGCGAAAGCGUGGGGAGCAAACAGGAUUAGAUACCCCAGUAGUC